rnacentral:rRNA from 1 species
AUUGAACGCUGGCGGCAGGCCUAACACAUGCAAGUCGAACGGUAGCACAGAGAGCUUGCUCUCGGGUGACGAGUGGCGGACGGGUGAGUAACGUCUGGGAAACUGCCCGAUGGAGGGGGAUAACUACUGGAAACGGUAGCUAAUACCGCAUAACGUCGCAAGACCAAAGUGGGGGACCUUCGGGCCUCACACCAUCGGAUGUGCCCAGAUGGGAUUAGCUAGUAGGUGGGGUAAUGGCUCACCUAGGCGACGAUCCCUCGCUGGUCUGAGAGGAUGACACGCCACACUGGAACGGAGACACGGUCCAGACUCCUACGGGAGGCAGCAGUGGGGAAUAUUGCACAAUGGGCGCAAGCCUGAUGCAGCCAUGCCGCGUGUAUGAAGAAGGCCUUCGGGUUGUAAAGUACUUUCAGCGGGGAGGAAGGCGGUGAAGUUAAUAACUUCACCGAUUGACGUUACCCGCAGAAGAAGCACCGGCUAACUCCGUGCCAGCCGCCGCCGUAA